CUCCCGAUGCUUCGGUAUGGCGAUUUUGUCACUGCUCCGAGGGCAAUACUCUCGAUUCGCCCGUGCUCGGCCGCGGCUAAUUGUUGGCUCUCCUCUUGGAUAGCCAGCUGAUAGAUCCGGCUGAGUGACAACAUUGGAUCCACCGCCAAAACCUGUGACCGAAAGACAGAGUAUGUGUCGUUGAGAAUGAGACAGAAUAUGCAACAACAAACCAGAAAGACAACGGAGGCAAUUCUAGGAUCGCGGAAGAUAGGUCAGGAAUGAAAGCUCUGAUAACAUGACAGAAAGUGAAGAAGAGAGGAAUUUUCUUGCAUUGAUCUGUUUUGUAUACAUGUACACGUCCCUAUUUAUAGGACAAUGAAUAAAGACAAAA